GAUGAACGCUGGCGGCGUGCUUAAUACAUGCAAGUCGAACGGAGACGUUAUAGCAAUAUGAUGUCUUAGUGGCGAACGGGUGAGUAACGCGUUGGUGACCUGCCCCGAAGUGCGGGAUAACAGCUCGAAAGGGCUGCUAAUACCUCAUGUGGUCCUAAGGGUUAGAGACCUCAGGACUAAAGGAGCAAUCCGCUUCGGGAGGGGCCUGCGUCCCAUCAGCUUGUUGGUAGGGUAAUGGCCUACCAAGGCGACGACGGGUAGGGGACCUGAGAGGGUGACCCCCCACACUGGCACUGAAACACGGGCCAGACACCUACGGGAGGCAG
rnacentral:rRNA from 1 species